UACGAAGGGGGCUAGCGUUGCUCGGAAUCACUGGGCGUAAAGCGCACGUAGGCGGAUCGCUAAGUCAGGGGUGAAAUCCUGGAGCUCAACUCCAGAACUGCCUUUGAUACUGGCAAUCUCGAGUCCGGGAGAGGUGAGUGGAACUGCGAGUGUAGAGGUGAAAUUCGUAGAUAUUCGCAAGAACACCAGUGGCGAAGGCGGCUCACUGGCCCGGUACUGACGCUGAGGUGCGAAAAGCGUGGGGAGCAAACAGG
rnacentral:rRNA from 1 species